CCUUGUAUGAGUGUCUCUGUCAUUUGAUCUGAUCUUGGCGGUGGAGUCGAAGGAGCUGACGAGCUCAAACUUCGCCCCCGCAACCCUGGAAGACGUUCCACGGGU
rfam:Felis catus isolate Cinnamon breed Abyssinian chromosome B1, whole genome shotgun sequence.